CAAUUCAGGGUCUGCAUCCUACCUCGGCCGGAUUCGUCGGCCGGUUACGUCACAGCGCCGCGACUCGGCCUGUCCCAAUUCGAAGACUCCUUCAAAUGCGGUCGACGAAUGCGGCCUUCUUUUCGCCUGAAUGAAGGAUGGGUCGGGUGUAUCCUUCAAUAGGUAGCAUUUCCCAAGAUGCCUUGCGGGCCGGCCGGCAGAAAAACUUAAAAACAAUGGCGGACAGUGAAGCGGGAGCUGUCGGAGAGGAUUGCGCAUAUAAAUGUAAGUAUAAACUUGAAAACUGUCAGUUUAAGGACUUUUUGUGAUACAUGAACGUUAUUUUAGUUAGAAAUGUUACAGUAAAAGUGCUUGUAUUGCGGUCUCGGCUCGUAUGUUCGGCCGCGCUCGGUGUCGUACUUCUCCCGCUACGUUUCCCCCUGAUUUUAAUAGAAGUUUGUAUUUUAGGACCAAAAGAGAAAACCAGGGAAUUUAUUAAGCUUAGGGCGGAGAUGGACCACAUGAUCACCGGAGCAAAGUAUUCGGCGGCUGUGGCAUGGAGACUAUUCUGGAGAAAAUGGGCAUCCAGGGGAAGGUGCCAGCGAUGAGCUUCUGGAGCUGAUCUGGGAGGACAUGAGGCUGCAGAGCAGCAGAGAGCACAGGAGAGAAGGAAGAACUUUGACAGCUUUUUACUUUGCUAGAAAAAAAUGGUUAAUGAAGAUUAAACAUGUACAUGUAAAAGAAAUAUCUAAAUAAAAUCAGUUCUGCAUUAAA